CUACGGGUUGCAGCAGUGAGGAAUAUUGCACAAUGGGGGGAACCCUGAUGCAGCAACGCCGCGUGGAGGACGACGCAUUUCGGUGUGUAAACUCCUUUUAUAUGUCAAGAAAAUGACGGUAGCAUAUGAAUAAGCACCGGCUAACUCCGUGCCAGCAGCCGCGGUAAUAGGGAGGGUGCAAGCGUUACUCGGAAUCACUGGGCGUAAAGGACGCGUAGGCGGGUUGGAAAGUCAGGUGUGAAAUCCUACAGCUUAACUGUAGAACUGCACUUGAAACUUCUAAUCUAGAGUAUGGGAGGGGGAGAUGGAAUUAGUGGUGUAGGGGUAAAAUCCGUAGAUAUCACUAGGAAUACCUAAAGCGAAGGCGAUCUCCUGGAACAUUACUGACGCUAAGGCGUGAAAGCGUGGGGAGCAAACAGGAUUAGAUACCCCGUAGUC
rnacentral:rRNA from 1 species